rnacentral:rRNA from 1 species
GGCUUUGAAGUGUGGACGCCAGUCUGCAUGGAGCCGACCUUGAAAUACCACCCUUUAAUGUUUGAUGUUCUAACGUUGACCCGUGAUCCGGGUUGCGGACAGUGUCUGGUGGGUAGUUUGACUGGGGCGGUCUCCUCCUAAAGAGUAACGGAGGAGCACGAAGGUUGGCUAAUCCUGGUCGGACAUCAGGAGGUUAGUGCAAUGGCAUAAGCCAGCUUGACUGCGAGCGUGACGGCGCGAGCAGGUGCGAAAGCAGGUCAUAGUGAUCCGGUGGUUCUGAAUGGAAGGGCCAUCGCUCAACGGAUAAAAGGUACUCCGGGGAUAACAGGCUGAUACCGCCCAAGAGUUCAUAUCGACGGCGGUGUUUGGCACCUCGAUGUCGGCUCAUCACAUCCUGGGGCUGAAGUAGGUCCCAAGGGUAUGGCUGUUCGCCAUUUAAAGUGGUACGCGAGCUGGGUUUAGAACGUCGUGAGACAGUUCGGUCCCUAUCUGCCGUGGGCGCUGGAGAACUGAGGGGGGCUGCUCCUAGUACGAGAGGACCGGAGUGGACGCAUCACUGGUGUUCGGGUUGUCAUGCCAAUGGCACUGCCCGGUAGCUAAAUGCGGAAGAGAUAAGUGCUGAAAGCAUCUAAGCACGAAACUUGCCCCGAGAUGAGUUCUCCCUGACUCCUUGAGAGUCCUGAAGGAACGUUGAAGACGACGACGUUGAUAGGCCGGGUGUGUAAGCGCAGCGAUGCGUUGAGCUAACCGGUACUAAUGAACCGUGAGGCUUAACCUUACAACGCCGAAGGUGUUU